GACAGAGGAUGCAAGCGUUAUCCAGAAUGAUUAGGCGUAAAGCGUCUGUAGGUGGCUUUUAAGUCCGCCGUUAAAUCCUAGGGCUCAACCCUGGACAGGCGGUGGAAACUACCAAGCUGGAGUACGGUAGGGGUAGAGGGAAUUUCCGGUGGAGCGGUGAAAUGCGUAGAGAUCGGAAAGAACACCAACGGCGAAAGCACUCUGCUGGGCCGACACUGACACUAAGAGACGAAAGCUAGGGGAGCAAAUGGG
rnacentral:rRNA from 1 species